GACAGAGGGGGCAAGCGUUGCUCGGAAUCACUGGGCGUAAAGGGCGCGUAGGCGGGAUGGCAAGUCGGUCGUGAAAUCCUUCGGCUCAACCGAAGAACGUCGGCCGAUACUGCCGUUCUUGAGGGAUGCAGAGGAGAUUGGAAUUCCUGGUGUAGCGGUGAAAUGUGUAGAGAUCGGGAGGAACACCGGUGGCGAAGGCGGGUCUCUGGGCCGAUACUGACGCUGAGGAGCGAAAGCGUGGGGAGCAAACAGG
rnacentral:rRNA from 1 species